rnacentral:rRNA from 1 species
UACGAAGGGGGCUAGCGUUGCUCGGAAUCACUGGGCGUAAAGGGUGCGUAGGCGGGUUUUUAAGUCAGAGGUGAAAUCCUGGAGCUCAACUCCAGAACUGCCUUUGAUACUGAAAGUCUUGAGUAUGGGAGAGGUGAGUGGAACUGCGAGUGUAGAGGUGAAAUGCGUAGAUAUUGGGAGGAACACCGGUGGCGAAGGCGCUACC